rnacentral:rRNA from 1 species
AGCGAACGUUAGCGGCGGGCUUAACACAUGCAAGUCGAACGCGAAAGGGAUUCGUCCCCAGUAGCGUGGCGUCCGGGUGAGUAACACGUAGGAAACCUUGCCUAGAGUGGGGGAUAACGUCCCGAAAGGGACGCUAAUACCGCAUAAGCCCACGUCGGCCUCGGCCGAUGCGGGAAAAGAUGGCCUCUGAAUUCAAGCUAUCGCUCAAGGAUGGUCCUGCGGCGCAUCAGCUAGUUGGUGGGUAACGGCCUACCAAGGCGAAGACGCGUAGCUGGUCUGAGAGGAUGAUCAGCCACACUGGCACUGAAACACGGGCCAGACUCCUACGGGAGGCAGCAGUGGGAAUAUUGGACAAUGGGCGCAAGCCUGAUCCAGCCACGCCGCGUGAGUGAUGAAGGCC